AGUGAAGUUCCUAAGGAUGGGUUUUCAGGCCCCCACUCUGCAUCUGGUGUCUGACUUCCUGCUCCCCGCCCCCCAGACUUUUCUUUCUGCCCAGUCACGUGGGCCCUGUUCCCCUUUCCACUUGCCCCCACAGCAGCCCCUGCUUUGGCUGCUGCUGAGCAGAGAGAAAACAAGUUCAGAGAGUGCUUCUGGGUCCCCUAGGCGUGCCCUUCCCCAAGUUACCCGGGGUAUCAGUUUGGCAGGUCACCUUCUGCUGGCACUGGGCUCCGGGAUCUGGAGGGGGUGAGGCUGGGGGAGGGAGCACGGGCUGAGAAAGGGGAAUUUUCAAUGCAUGUUUGAUUCUCGUCCGCAUUCAGGUCUCCUCAUUAAAGCCACAGACGCGGCGCGGAGGACCUGCUCUUCAUUUCAGAGUUGGCAUCGCCUGAAGCCCCAUUAGCGCCUGAUCUCUUGCUGACAGAUGUAGAGAGCAGCACAGCCUUUGUUGUAGUCACCGCUGCUUCUUAACCUCUAAGAAUGCUGCCUUCAGCACAGCACUGGGGAUGGGAGAAAAGCCAGUCUUGAUUCCAGUGGCCCAACCCAAAACUUUGGUUACUGGAUUCUCAGCCCACCUUCAUAGCCACUCAGGGAGGCAUACAAGGUCUGGACAGCGGCCUUCCUCCACUCUGUGACCUUCUUGGAUAUGGCGCCUGCAUUCCAUUCACAGCACAGGGCUGGCUCCAAGGACGGGAGUCCUUUGCAAAGCACUGUUUCCCAAAGUUACUGAUGCCUUUGUUCUGAGAUAAAGUAAGCCUAUGCUCCACCCCCUCUGCCAAGCUUCUGCUUAUCACUAGGCAAGACAAAUAUCAUUGGAAUGUUUCAGUGCGCUAUUAACCAAAUUCCUAUGCAAUCCCAAUCACUUGAUUAAGUGUUUUGAGGACUCACUAGUCCUGGCAUUGACAAGUCCUUGUAGGAGAUCAACAAUGUCAAUGGAAAUAAAUAUUAGCUUGCCCUUUCACAUUGAACAUGUCAAGCUGACCUACGAGGAUGUAAGCACCCCAAGGGCUGCAAUUUCUGUUU
ensembl:lncRNA